rnacentral:rRNA from 1 species
UUCCGUAGGGGUGACCUGCGGAAGGAUCAUUACCGAGUGCGGGCCCUCUGGGUCCAACCUCCCAUCCGUGUCUAUCUGUACCCUGUUGCUUCGGCGUGGCCACGGCCCGCCGAAGACUAACAUUUGAACACUGUCUGAAGUUUGCAGUCUGAGUUUUUAGUUAAACAAUAAUUAAAACUUUCAACAACGGAUCUCUUGGUUCCGGCAUCGAUGAAGAACGCAGCGAAAUGCGAUAAUUAAUGUGAAUUGCAGAAUUCAGUGAAUCAUCGAGUCUUUGAACGCACAUUGCGCCCCCUGGUAUUCCGGGGGGCAUGCCUGUCCGAGCGUCAUUGCUGCCCUCAAGCACGGCUUGUGUGUUGGGCUUCCGUCCCUGGUAACGGGGACGGGCCCAAAAGGCAGUGGCGGCACCAUGUCUGGUCCUCGAGCGUAUGGGGCUUUGUCACCCGCUCCCGUAGGUCCAGCUGGCAGCUAGCCUCGCAACCAAUCUUUUUAACCAGGUUGACCUCGGAUCAGGUAGGGAUACCCGCUGAACUUAAGCAUAUCAUUAACCGGAGGAA